rnacentral:sRNA from 1 species
CCCUUCUCUUCUGAAUUCUCCAUUCCGGGCUCUUGCCUGUGAAAUCUUUCUUUGCUUUCCCCAUCUUUUCCUCGCAUUUUUUCACCAUCUUUCCCUCAAUCUCCAGGAGCCAAUGCGAGACUUUGGCUCCGAUUAAGCGACGGCCCGAGACUCGGGGUGCGCGAGGAGGAUCGACAGAGUGGUGAUGGAGAGCACCCCUUCAAGGGGACUGAACCGAGUACACCUACAAUGCAGGAAUCUGCAGGAAUUCUUAGGGGGCCUGAGCCCUGGGGUAUUGGACCGAUUGUAUGGGCACCCUGCCACAUGUCUGGCUGUCUUCAGGGAGCUCCCAUCCUUGGCUAAGAACUGGGUGAUGCGGAUGCUCUUUCUGGAGCAGCCUUUGCCACAGGCUGCUGUAGCUCUGUGGGUAAAGAAGGAAUUCAGCAAGGCUCAGGAGGAAAGUACAGGGCUGCUGAGCGGCCUCCGGAUCUGGCACACCCAGCUGCUCCCAGGCGGGCUCCAGGGCCUCAUCCUCAACCCCAUUUUCCGCCAGAACCUCCGCAUUGCCCUUCUGGGUGGUACAGGGAUUACAGGUGUGAGCCACUGCGCCUGGCCAGGG